UCAUCCAGGACCAUAGCUCAGUGGUUAGAGCAUCUGCUUUGCAUGCAGAAGGUCCCAGGUUCAAUACCCUGCAUCUCUGUGUGAG
rnacentral:tRNA from 1 species